ACCUGGCUGGCUCAGUCAGUAAAGCACAUGACUCUUGAUCUUGGGGUUGUGAGUUCAAGCCCCAUGUUGGAUG
rnacentral:tRNA from 1 species